rnacentral:lncRNA from 1 species
AUCGAGAGGCCGUCCGAGUUUACGCGUCCACAAUUCCCCGGAGAAUCGGGGCCCAUAACAUUUUCAUGGUUUUCCUUGCGAGGAACGAGCGCCACCGUUUUGGUGCCGAACAAUUUUUCAUGACACGUUCUUUUUUCCCUAAGUACGCCAGCAGCGAGGAAAGAAUGAAAAAAAGGAAGAAGACGAGGAAGAAGCAGAAGAGGAAGAAGAAAAAAGUACGUUAGAGCAUCGGGGGAUGAAAGUGGGUAUAUGGACGACGUUGGGGAAGGAAAAGGUGGAAUUUUCCGCGAGGCUUAUAUCCAAGGGACACUCGGCAGGGUCAUAAAGCCCGGCAACGCGGGGAACCGAUGGCGACCGAAACAAUAACUUUUCUCCGUCGACGCGGCAAUAACGGCGAUAAACCAAUUUGGAUAGGAUUCGGGAUGCUUUUCGAAGGAACACAAUGCCGGGAACGCUUACACCAGUAUUGGAACUUUCGCCAGAGAGAUGCAGCAAGAGAUCUUGUAUCGCAUCGAGAGUCGUUCAACCCUGGCGCACGGAAUAACGGGACGCGGGAGACGGGGAUCAUCACCCACCAGGCACUCCCGCCGCCUACGUGUGCUCCAGCACCGCUGCUCCCUCGGAUAGUGUCCUUUCCGCUUUAAGGGGGCGCUGCCCCUGUGUACAUACCGCUACAGUAUCAACUGACGGCGAGAAUAUCAUCCGAGAGCUAAGGAAAAGAGAGUCUCCGAGGAAGAUUUUUCAUUCAUGCCAUUUCGAGCGUAAGAGGAAAAAUGAUAAAAGAAAGCAAGUUCAUCCAGAUAGACGUAAAACAAUUCCGAGCUGGAAUUUUCGACCCCGUGAUUCCAGCGAUGAGAUCUAUUUUCUAACUUCAACUCACCGAGCGUCCUUCCUCGCUUACCCUCUGUAAAUUAGUCCGCAAUAUCGGAGCUUCCUCAAAAAAAUUGGUCUGCAAGGAAAAACAAAAAGAGCACGAGCAGCCGAACUACAAUCGUUGACCCAGAGGCCUCGAUUCGAUGGAUUUUUCCUGACAAUGACUCGACAAUUUUCUCCACUUUGACAUAGGCUCUGCAAGGGCCAAAUACGGGGGCCAAGGAAGACAUUUUAGUACGGAGUCAUUGGAUCUUUUUUCUUAUCACGAUGAAACUACGAUUUGUGCUGAUGAGUACGAUCGAUCGAAAGGUCGGACGCGAUAAAGUUCAUCAGCGACAGGGUGCGAGCAGGGGACGAUCUCCGUUUACGUACAAAUUCACAGAAACAAAUUACACGUGUAGUUAAGGAGGGCCAUUGAGACGAGAAGUGAGAAAAUAGGAGCUCGUAUACAGAGACGUGUUUACCGAACACAUAUUCAUGGGCGUUUAUGCUGAUGGAAAUACGGAGAUUACUCCCCGCGGCCUUUCAACCGGAGACAUUUUCGCGAUGGAAACGAAUUUUCGUGGCAAUCGUCGGCAUGGAUUCAAUCAAACGGUGCAGGACUCGGCCUGAUGUCCGCGACUUUGGCAUCUGAAUUGGUUCUAACGACGACCAACUCUACCGAGAGAUGACGAAGUACAGUACUUCGUCCUGAAAUCGAGAUUAACGAAUUUUAGCCUACAAUUACAGUUUUUA